rnacentral:lncRNA from 1 species
CGACAGAAAGUAAAAAUGCGAAUAAUCUGAAAACACACAUAAUUCGAAAUGUUUAUUUUAUUUUUACAAUUCUGUCGUAUUAUAUUUCUACUCAAUUGAUAAUUUGCUCCGGUGAAUUUUUGAAUCCUUUCCCUUCGUUAGUUAGAAUCGAUUGGAUGCAGGGAAUCGAUUCUGUGAUAAAGUCAUGUAAGUUCCAACGACUGAUUUUAUUAUUAAAAAUAUUUUCUAUAUACGCUCUGAAAUUGACACAGAAUGGAAACUUAAGUGUUUUAAUUAAUCGAUUGGAAUCGUUCUUGUUGGAAUUCGAUUGGAAGCAGAAAAUCGAUUAUGUGAUGACGUCAUGUCAGUUCGUAACGAUCUGAUUUUAUUUGUUAUUAAAAAUAUUUUCUAUAUACGCUCUGAAAUUGACACAGAAUGGAAACUUCAAUGUUUAAUUAAGUUCGAUCAAUUGGAAUCGAAUAAUCGAUUAAGUGUUUUAAUUAAUCGAUUGGAAUCAGAAAAUCGAUUAUGUGAUCCAAUUAAUCGAUUCUGGUAUUAUUGUUGUUGGAAUUCGAUUGGAUGCAGAGAAUCGAUUCUGUGACGACGUCAUGUGAGUUCGCAACGAUCUGAUUUUGUUUGUUAUUAAAAAUAUUUUUUGUAUACGCUUCGAAGUUGACACAGAAUGGUCACUUCAAUGUUUAAAUUAAUGUAAAAAUACAUGCUAUAAAAAAUUUUUUCUGACUGCG